GGAAUAUUGGACAAUGGGCGAAAGCCUGAUCCAGCCAUGCCGCGUGUGUGAAGAAGGUCUUCGGAUUGUAAAGCACUUUAAGUUGGGAGGAAGGGCAGUAAGCGAAUACCUUGCUGUUUUGACGUUACCGACAGAAUAAGCACCGGCUAACUCUGUGCCAGCAGCCGCGGUAAUACAGAGGGUGCAAGCGUUAAUCGGAAUUACUGGGCGUAAAGCGCGCGUAGGUGGUUUGUUAAGUUGGAUGUGAAAGCCCCGGGCUCAACCUGGGAACUGCAUCCAAAACUGGCAAGCUAGAGUACAGUAGAGGGUGGUGGAAUUUCCUGUGUAGCGGUGAAAUGCGUAGAUAUAGGAAGGAACACCAGUGGCGAAGGCGACCACCUGGACUGAUACUGACACUGAGGUGCGAAAGCGUGGGGAGCAAACAGGAUUAGAUACCCGAG
rnacentral:rRNA from 1 species